rnacentral:rRNA from 1 species
UACAGAGGUCUCAAGCGUUGUUCGGAUUCAUUGGGCGUAAAGGGUGCGUAGGUGGCGCUGUAAGUCAGGUGUGAAAUUUCGGAGCUUGACUCCGAAACUGCAUUUGAUACUGCGGUGCUCGAGGACUGGAGAGGAGACUGGAAUUUACGGUGUAGCAGUGAAAUGCGUAGAGAUCGUAAGGAAGACCAGUGGCGAAGGCGGGUCUCUGGACAGUUCCUGACACUGAGGCACGAAGGCCAGGGGAGCAAACGGG